rnacentral:rRNA from 1 species
CAAGGGAUUUUCCGCAAUGGGCGAAAGCCUGACGGAGCGACGCCGCGUGGAGGAUGACACCCUUCGGGGCGUAAACUCCUUUUGUGGGGGACGAAGCAAGUGACGGUACCCCACGAAGAAGCACCGGCUAACUACGUGCCAGCAGCCGCGGUAAGACGUAGGGUGCAAGCGUUGUCCGGAAUUACUGGGCGUAAAGGGCGCGUAGGCGGUUGCCCGCGUCGCACGUGAAAGCCCCCGGCUCAACCGGGGAGGGUCGUGCGAGACGGGGUAACUGGAGGCAGGGAGAGGCUGGUGGAAUUCCCGGUGUAGUGGUGAAAUGCGUAGAUACCGGGAGGAACACCUGAGGCGAAGGCGGCCAGCUGGCCCUGUCCUGACGCUGAGGCGCGAAGGCUCGGGGAGCGAACGGG